UUUAAAAGACAUGGCCUCUGCUUCAAGAAACUUCAUUGAUGUCAGGCCUCCAUACUGUUCAGUAGAUUUGAUAAUUGGCUGUAUUUUGCUUAUAUAUCACGGUGAGGUGUGAGGAGAUUGUCUGGACUUAUCUUGGCUGCAACUCUAGAGAGGGCUUGUAUAUCACGGGGGGUGUGUGUGUGAGGAGAUUGUCUGGACUUAUCUUGGCUGCGGCUCUAGAGAGGGCUUGUAUAUCACGGGGUGUGUGUGUGUAUUGUCUGGACUUAUCUUGGCUGCGGCUCUAGAGAGGGCUUGUAUAUCACGGGGGUGUGUGUGUGUGAGGAGAUUGUCUGGACUUAUCUUGGCUGCAGCUCUAGAGAGGGCUUGUAUAUCACGGGGUGUGUGUGUGUGUGAGGAGAUUGUCUGGACUUAUCUUGGCUGCGGCUCUAGAGAGGGCUUGUAUAUCACGGGGUGUGUGUGUGUAUUGUCUGGACUUAUCUUGGCUGCGGCUCUAGAGAGGGCUUGUAUAUCACGGGGGUGUGUGUGUGUGAGGAGAUUGUCUGGACUUAUCUUGGCUGCGGCUCUAGAGAGGGCUUGUAUAUCA